rnacentral:rRNA from 1 species
GAUGAACGCUGGCGGCGUGCCUAAUACAUGCAAGUCGAGCGAACGGACGAGAAGCUUGCUUCUCUGAUGUUAGCGGCGGACGGGUGGGUAACACGUGGAUAACCUACCUAUAAGACUGGGAUAACUUCGGGAAACCGGAGCUAAUACCGGAUAAUAUUUUGAACCGCAUGGUUCAAAAGUGAAAGACGGUCUUGCUGUCACUUAUAGAUGGAUCCGCGCUGCAUUAGCUAGUUGGUAAGGUAACGGCUUACCAAGGCAACGAUGCAUAGCCGACCUGAGAGGGUGAUAGGCCACCCUGGAACUGAGACACGGUCCCGACUCCUAAGGGAGGCAGCAGUAGGGAAUCUUACGCAAUGGGAGGAAGCCUUACGGAGCAACGCCGCGUGAGUUAUGAAGGUCUUCCGAUCGUAAAACCCUGUUAUUAGGGAAGAACAUAUGUGUAAGUAACUGUGCACAUCUUGACGGUACCUAAUCAGAAAGCCACGGCUAACUACGUG